GCCCAUUCCGCAGGAGAGAGCCGCGCCGGACCAAACCGGACGCCGCCGCCGAAGGCGCAAGUGCACCCGCAAUCGCUCAGGCAAAAGGACUGCAAGAAUCGG
rnacentral:ncRNA from 2 species